UUUAUUGUACCUACUUUGAUAAUUAAUCCACAUAAAUUUGCUAAGGUCACUAAAUCUAAACUUCUACAGUUUUUCAGCUAUAACACCGAAUUUCUAAAUUUGCGUCGAAUAAUUAUUUGAAGGUCAAUUGAAUUCGGGUUGCAAAACUAACUGUAUAUUCGUAAUCUACAUAAAAAGGUCAACAUUCUGCCAUACGCAUGCU
rnacentral:lncRNA from 1 species